GGAGUUAGGAAAUGUAAGUGCGCUAAUACCGCAUUUAUUUGACGAAGGCUCCAAAGGAAGCCACGGCUAACUCUGUGCCAGCAGCCGCGGUAAUACAGAGGUGGCAAGCGUUGUUCGGAAUUAUUGGGCGUAAAGAGCACGUAGGUGGGUUUGUAAGUCAGAUGUGAAAGCCUUCUGUUCAACGGAAGAAUUGCAUCUGAAACUGCGAGUCUUGAGUGUAGGAGGGGAGAGUGGAACUUCUG
rnacentral:rRNA from 1 species